GACGAACGCUGGCGGCGUGGAUUAGGCAUGCAAGUCGAACGGUAGAUAUCCUUCGGGGUAUUGAGAGUGGCGAACGGGUGAGUAACACGUAGGUAAUCUACCCUCAAAUCGGGGACAACCCAGGGAAACUUGGGCUAAUACCGGAUGAGUGCAGCACCUAAAUCAUCCAUACGGAAUCUGGUUAAGAUUGGGUUUUGUAUGGUUGGGUGAUUUAGGUGCUGUAUAAAAGAUGGCUUCGGCUGUCGUUUGAGGAUGAGCCUGCGCUCUAUUAGUUAGUUGGUGAGGUAAUGGCUCACCAAGGCGAUGAUAGAUAGGCGGCCUUAACGGGUGGUCGCCCACACUGGGAUUGAGAUACGGCCCAGACUCCUACGGGAGGCAGCAGUCGAGAAUAGUCUACAAUGGACGAAAGUCUGAUAGUGCGACGCCGCGUGAACGAUGAAUCCCUUCGGGGUGUAAAGUUCUUUUAUAUGUGAGCAAUGCCUUAUAUGUGAAUAG
rnacentral:rRNA from 1 species